CGUGGGAGGCAGAGGUUGCAGUGGGCUGAGAUCCAGCCAUUGCUCUCCAGUGAGGGUGACAGAGCAAGACUCCAUCUCAAAAAAAACAAAACAAAAAAACAAGCAACUUGAAUUAUGGAGGACACUAGAAACAGUGUUUCCUACAGAGUCAGGGCUUCCUACUAGCAUAGUCACUUCUGGGGUUUUUGACCUGAAAGUUCUGUGGCAUAUUUUUUCUUUGUUUUCCACUUUUUGUUUUUUCUAUUUUUCCCCUCUUUCUGUCCUCUGCUUUAUCUUCUAGAGACCUAGGUAGUCCCCAGAGGAAUAGUGCUUUAUGGAGUCUAAUGGUGAUUUAUUGGGUAAAAACAGAAAACGAUUUUUUUUACCUGCAAGUUCCAUACCAAGAAAUGAAUAUAAGCUUUUCAUGCAGUUUCACACAUUGAAAAUGCAGGUAAUUUUAAUUCCUUGCUCUUUUCAGAAUUCUCAAUCGCAAUCCUCUGACAAGUGUUGAAGAUCCAUAUUUGUUUAAGUUGCCAGCAUUAAAAUAUCUAGACAUGGGAACAACACGAAUCACACUUACAACAGUUAAGAACAUCCUCAUGAUGACUCUUGAAUUGGAAAAACUGAUCUUACCUAGCCUUAUGGCCUGCUGCCUGUGCCAAUUUAAAAAUAGCUUUGAGGUUGUCUGCAAGACAGUCAAGCUGCAUUGCAACAGUGCAUGUCUGACAAACACCACACAUUGUCGUGAGUCCAAAUUGCCUGGUGAUAAACUGUUACAUUAUUUUAAGUAUUUGUUUUUAAUUUUUUAUUUUUAAUUGAUAAAAUUUUAAGCUAAUGAUAUAAUUGCUUUAUUUUUCUUUACUCAUUCAGAGUUAAACUCCCUAAAUUUCUGAACUACUCUCUUGUUGAGAGUCAAGUUCUCAGUUAUAAAACUUAAUAAUAGAACUGCAUAUGCAUACAGGACCAAGACAAAGGAAUAGAAAGGCUAGGGAGUAACAUUAAUAUUCACACACUGUGUACUGUGCUCUCUGUUUGGUACUUUGUCCCCAGUGGUAAUUUAUUCAUAUAGUGUAAGCUGGCUUUAUAUACAUGAGGUCUCAGGUACCUCUGCCUUAUAGAACAGUUAUAGAACUGGUUUUGGUUUUUUUGUUUUUAGAAUUUUAUAAGAGUACAAGUGAUGCUGUUUUAUUUGAAGCCUGAGAGCUUCUGGUUCCAUAACCAGAAAUUGCUACCUGGCUCUUCUAAUGUAAUGGAGGGCUUUUGCAUUCUUAGACCAUCCAACUCUGAAGUUGCUCUGAAUUUCAGACCUUUCUUUUCACAGAACAAACACUCAAGUGCUUUCAAGUGUUUUUGUGUAUAUUUGGUUUAUUAGCACCAACUUCAUGACUUCUAAAAUGUGACUGCUUUCAUGUCCAGGUAGCUUGAAUACAGGUAUCUACCACUGAUACAGGGUGUAAUAAAUAAUGCUUGGCUACUUACACAAAGAUAGUGUUGCUUAUUUUUCAAAACUUUUUUUUUUUAACGAAUUGUAUUAUUUCCUUCUCGCCAAGAGGUGGGUAGAAAAGCAUUGUUAAUCUCCUUUUACAGAUAAAGAAAAACAAGAUUAGAGGUGCUAAGUGCUGUAGCCGAGUGCCAGGUCUUCUGCCCGCAGUUCUGGGUUCUCCCCAAGCCCAUGUUUCUCCUUUCUCACAAUCUUCACCUUCUGACCCUCACCAUCACCCAGAAUACUUGUAAUUCUGGAAAAGACACUCAGCUGCACAGUGGCAUACUUGACCUUCAUGCAGUCGGAAGCUUUGGAUGAUUUCCCAUCCAAAAUGUUAGAGAUGAAAUGAAAGCAAAGUCGGCAUCUGACAAAAGUUGCUUUUUCCCUUCUGCAUUUUAGGACCUCAAGUAAUGUUUAUCCAGAAAUUGCUAUUAUACCAUACAUUCAUUGUACAUUAGACAACAUAGGCAUACAACCUGACAAAUUAAAAAUUUCUUAAGCUACACACCAGAUUCCUACUCAAAUUUAAAAAAAGAACUAAGAUGGACACAGUGUAUUUUUCCCUGUCAAGUCUUCUGUUAUAGGGCCAGUAUACGUGGAAGCAGAGAAUGGGGUGAGUGGACAGAGCAUAUGCCAGAUGAGGAUCUAUCAGCAAUGGGAGGGGCCCUCGCUUGAGCAUCUCCACCCCUGCUCCUCUCAAAGGGCUGCCUUUCAUUGCAUUCACCUGUGAUAGUAGGAAGAACGCAGGCACACUGACUACGAGGAGACAGCGAGACUUGUGCUCUCCCUGCAUCUGAGGCAGGACAGCACAGGGUACAGAGCAGUCUGCUGAGAGGCUAGCUCAUCAGGGAAGCACUUGUCUUCCACCUUGGGCUUUGACUGAGCUCUGGGCAAUUGGGCUCUAGGAAUCAAUGGAAUAAUCCUAAGCAGAGUUAAUCUAUGUCACACUGUGAAAUGUUCCAAGUAGGUGGCCAUGUUUUCAAAACAUGUCUUUUCCUUUUUUUGUUGUUGCCAUUUCAUAGGUUUAGGUUUGGGUGUAUGUUUUUCCUGUCUGAAUGGCACUUGAAUGUUUGCUGACUCCUACUCUGUAUGACUGGGGCGAACAGCGGUGGACUGAUCCAUGCCGUCCCAACAUCUUUCAUUAUCAAAGCAGUCUCUUCUUUUUUGACAGUUGGAGAAGCAUCUAUAGGGAGUCCCUGAGGAGCGUUCAUGAAGGUGUUACAAGCCCAGAAGAAGCACAUGAGCACUGAGCUGACUAUUGAGCCGGAGAUGCCUUCAGACGGCAAUGGCAUCAACUUGUUAGGCUUUGGGAGUGAGCAGCUGGACAUCAAUGAUGAAAGUGAUGUUAUCAGUGCACUAAAUUAUAUCUUGCCUUAUUUCUCAGACGGAAAUGUAGAAGAUGUGGAAUCAAUGUUGUUACCGUUCAUUAAACUGCUUUUUUCAGAUUCACAAGAUGGUGACAGGCCCCUGGGUAUUUUGAAAAACAAUACAAAGAGCCCCUCUCUUCAACCUGCAUCCAACAACUCAUCUUA